GCGGUGAAGUCAGACCGGAAGGACUGGUGGAGCGCUUAGAAGUGAGAAUGCCGGUAUGAGUAGCGAAAGAAGGGUGAGAAUCCCUUCCACCGAAUAUCUAAGGUUUCCUGAGGAAGGCUCGUCCGCUCAGGGUUAGUCGGGACCUAAGCCGAGGCCGAUAGGCGUAGGCGAUGGACAACAGGUAGAGAUUCCUGUACCAGUGCUAAUUGUUUAACCGAUGGGGUGACACAGAAGGAUAGGGAAUCGCACGAAUGGAAAUGUGCGUCCAAGCAGUGAGUGUGAGAAGUAGGCAAAUCCGCUUCUUGCGAAGCAUGAGCUGUGAUGGGGAAGGAAAUUAAGUACGGAAGUUCCUGAUUUCACGCUGUCAAGAAAAGCCUCUAGGAAGAGUAGUACUGCCCGUACCGCAAACCGACACAGGUAGAUGAGGAGAGAAUCCUAAGGUGAGCGAGAGAACUCUCGUUAAGGAACUCGGCAAAAUGACCCCGUAACUUCGGGAGAAGGGGUGCU
rnacentral:rRNA from 2 species